CGAAAACAAAAACGAGAGCGAGAGCGAGAAACCUUUUAUUAGCAAAUCUUUAGCUUUAAGCUUUAAACAGUUUCAACUGCUUUUGUUGCACAGGACAAUGAGRAAACCCCAAAACAAUUAAUUAAUUAAUAUAAAUGUGUAUAAAUGUAUAAUUAUUGUUACCUAGCAAAUUUAAUGAGAAUUCUUACGUAUAUACGAAUAUCGAAUGAAAACAAACAAAACCACAAAACAAAACAAGCUGAAAAGAAACAGAUAAUUGCUUAGAAGCAUACUAGAUGAAAAUGCUAUUAAUUUGUAAGGCCAACGCAAUGUUCUCAUUUUAAUUUAUAAAUUAAACGACAAAGAAACAAAACACACUGUAAAGCGAGUAUAAAUAAAUUUUAA